AAGGAAGGGGGCGGGGAGGCCGCUUCCUUUCUUCCCGGGGUGGCUUUUGUUGCCUCCACUCUUGUCCUGGCAGCUCCAGCAGCAGCCUCUUCCCGACGACACAUCAAGGCGGAGAAGAGCUGCAAAUCUAUUCAUCUUCGUAAAACUGGAUAGACAGAAUUCAGAAACCCACCAGAACUGAAAGAAGCCUGCCUUCAUACCCAAGCGAGUAAAGGAAUCUUUUCACACUCAGAGGCGACCCAGUAGAAGAAGAAGAUGGAAGAGCAGCACCUAGGAGGACCUGGACUUGACAAGAGGGCAAGGAAAGACCCCCAUCUCAUCCAAGCUGGGAGUGGUGUUGCAUUCUGGGAGAGAGCUGUGCCAGAGGUCUGGGAUCAGGAGCCCGUGAACUCAGAAGAACUUUGCCAACUCUUCCGGCAGUUCUGCUACCAUGAUGCU